UCACCUGAGCCUCAGCAGGUAGUGGUGGGUUUCAGGCUGCUGAGGCUGUGGCAGAGGGAGUGUGAACUUCUCUGCCCCACCCCUUUGAAAUACUAGGAGCAGAGCUGACACAGGCUGAAAGGAAAAUUUAGUUGUGAUGCAGCCAAGAGCCUGUCAGCUUCUGCAGGGGGUUCUUCUUACCCUGCGUGUAUGGAGAGUUGAUGACCCCUAGUGGGAGCUGAGAAACCACACAGCCGCCUGCAACAAGUAAAUGCUGAUAUUUGCAUUGGAGAUGUGGGGAGUUAACACUCUCCACAGGAGAUCUGUUCUUUUGCUUACAGCUUCUUACUUAGGCAACUGAGAAUUGAAGUUUUUGAAAAAUCAAAACAGAAAUUUAACUUAUUAUGUGAGGUAGGGACAAAGUAAAGUCAUCAAGUUCAGGAAGGGCAUAGCCCAGCCUUGCUGUAAGAGGGUGACUUCUGUGCCUGACCAUAGGCUGACACUGGUGACCACGGCCACCUGGGGCAGAGCUGUGAACCCAGAGAAGCAGCUGAACAGGCCAGCAGGCAACCUGCCAUGGGGUCCUGCUCCAAGAACCGGUCCUUCUUCUGGAUGACUGGGCUCCUGGUAUUCAUCAGCCUCCUCCUCGGUGUCUGCAGAACUGCAGCCAACACUUCUGGAGCACAUGGCUCUGCAGGGAAGGAUUCUGGAGCCCCCAUUCAUCUGAAGGGCAUCCGAGGAGGUUCUAUCUUGUUUAAUGCGAUCGAGAAGCUCAGAGUAGAUGUAGGCACCGAGUUGGAGGAGGUUCUAUGGGCUUUGGGCACUCUGACAGAUCAUACAC
rnacentral:lncRNA from 1 species